GAUGAACGCUAGCGGCAGGCUUAAUACAUGCAAGUCGUGGGGCAGCAGGAGUAGCAAUACUUGCUGGCGACCGGCAAACGGGUGCGUAACACGUACGCAACUUUCCUUCAGGCGGGGAAUAGCCCAGAGAAAUUUGGAUUAAUACCCCAUAAAAUAUUGAGAUGGCAUCAUCUUAUUAUUAAAGCUUCGGCACCUGAAGAUGGGCGUGCGGCUGAUUAGGUAGNGGCGGGGUAACGGCCCACCAAGCCUACGAUCAGUAGCUGAUGUGAGAGCAUGAUCAGCCACACGGGCACUGAGACACGGGCCCGACUCCUACGGGAGGCAGCAGUAAGGAAUAUUGGUCAAUGGACGAAAGUCUGAACCAGCCAUGCCGCGUGGAGGAUGAAGGUCCUCUGGUAUUAGUAAACUUCUUUUAGUUUGGGAACGAAAAAAGGGUAUUCUUUCUCACUUGACGGUACCAGAUGAA
rnacentral:rRNA from 1 species